GUCAAAGUAGAAAGAUGGAGUUGGGAAGCUUUAGCCUUUAGCCACACAAACACACUGUUAUUCCUUGUUUAAAAUUCCUGGAGGUGAAACUUUACUAUGGAUCAGAGCGCGGUCAAGCCAACAUGAAUCACGACGGAAUGUCAACCAGCAGGUUUCGGUGAGAAAAUUGUGGUUAAAAAGUCGCUUCUUACCGGAGAAAAGCUGAGCUUGUGCCGUCCAUAGCUUCCUUUGACUCCUCUGAGACAUUGGCGUCAAGACACCCGUGGAGACACACCUCCAACUAUCAGGAGACUCUGCCAGACGUUCCCAGCAGACCCUCACAAUGCGUUUGGGCCUCCCAGGUCUGUCCGGCAUCCUCCCCCACCAUCGCAGCCAACUCACCACCAGGUCCGGCCGUGCACCCCCCCCCAGGGACAACCCCCGCACCCAGACGAUGACAUGACACUGGGCAUAAAGGACAGCGCAGAGCGUGAGGGCAGGCCCGGGCCAAUAUCCAACAAGCCCACCAACACAACAACAAACGAGACCGAAGCUGGCGAGUUUGCCAGCCCUGAAAACAACCACGUGCACACGCUGCUUAAAACCACAACAGCAGCCAAUCCCUCGCACAAGACCAAGAAGCCAUGGGCAAGGCCCCAAAAGACGGGCACAGACCCAGACCAACAGGAAAAGAGACCCGCGCGACAACACACAAACCGGAAGUGACAACAACUGACCACCCAAUCCACCUCCAUUAAUCAAUCAAUCAAUCAAUGUUUAUUUAUAUAGCCCAAAAUCACAAAUGUCUCAAAGGACUGCACAAAUCAUUACGACUACAACAUCCUCGGAAGAACCCACAAAAGGGCAAGGAAAACUCACACCCAGUGGGCAGAGAGAAUUCACAUCCAGUGGGACGCCAGUGACAAUGCUGACUAUGAGAAACCUUGGAGAGGACCUCAGAUGUGGGCAACCCCCCCUCUCUAGGGGACCGAAAGCAAUGGAUGUCGAGCGGGUCUAACAUGAUACUGUGAAAGUUCAAUCCAUAGUGGCUCCAACACAGCCGCGAGAGUUCAGUUCAAGCGGAUCCAAGACAGCAGCGAGAGUCCCGUCCACAGGAAACCAUCUCAAGCGGAUCAGCAGCGUAGAGAUGUCCCCAACCGAUACAGGCGAGCGGUCCAUCCUGGGUCCCGACGAGCGGUCCAUCCUGGGUCUCGACUUAAAAAAAUAAAAUUAUAAUUUAAAAAUUAAAACCUCAUUCCCUCACCAAGGGGAAUGGCAGGCCACCAGACUAUUGUCUGCGCCUACCGAGGAGGCAAUGAGGGGCUCGCCGCACCUCCGAGCUCCAACCCACCCGUCCAUGUGAUAUGGGAGUGUAUAAGGCCCCCAGAGUGUCUACUGUGUAGUUAAAAUUUGGAAGUUGGCCAUUACAGCCGACCAGAAGUCCCUAUUGAUACCAUAUGUCAAAUAUAUUUACCCCAGUAAUAUCAUCAAAAUGUACCUGACUGGAUGAAGUCCUUGGGCUCAAAUACUAAUGUGGCCUCAAUAGCCCUGCUGUAGUGUGUAGAAUGCUGGAAAUUAUCUGUGCAUGUGAUGGAAGAAUGCACUGCACAUGUUAUAUAGGAAUGCACUGUCAAGGGUUGAAAUUCUACUGAAUUUGCAUUAAAUAAGGUUAUUUUAGCUAAUAAUCAUACUGCAUGAUCUAGUAUGUUGCAUUCAAUGUUUAGUCCCAUUAAUUCCCAUGGAAAAUUUCCAACUUUGAAUAUUUCCGAAAUUUUGCAACCCUAGCUCUGAGUAACAUGCAAUGCUUUGGGCCUUCUCAAAAUAUUUGCACCACUUCUGGUGCACUUGCAGGCCAUUUAACUCUCCAUCACUGUUGCUACUCUUGGUUAAUUUCUUGAGAUUGGCAUCAUCAUCAUCAUCAAUUGGCACCCCCUUUUCUCCCAGGUACUUGAUGGAGGCUUCCACAUCAUUCCAACUUGGUGUCUGACUCAAAUCCAUCCACAUGAAUGUGGUUUAUUCUUCCAUGGGUGCCAUCCACCUCUGGAGAUACUGCAGGCAUGCACUCUAGAGACCCUGUAUAUCAGCACAGAACUGGUCACAUUCUUUUCCAUGCCCAUAUGUGCACUUCUGUGCCAGGUAUCCCUUAACUCUCAGGGACAUGAAGUUGUUCCUCUGCCGUUCCCCAAAUGUUUUGUGGACUCUCUGUAAGAUGUUACGCACUUCAACAAUGGAAUUAUUUUCCUUUUCCAUUUCUUAAAUUGGUGAGUGGAACACACACAUGAGUGAAUGCAUGUGCCAAAAGUAAAUUUCAAGUAAUUUUCAAAAAACCUACUGAUCAUUGGAGGUGUAUUUUCCUGUGACAGAACAUAUCCCUUUAAUGCUGAAAACAUCUGCAGCAGCCUCUCAAUUCCAGGGAAUAUUGACAGCCAUCGUGUCUUGCUGUGGGAAAGGAACUUUCUGUAUUCAACAUCAACAAAGUCAAUACUUCUUCAAACUCUCAGUGCGCACAGUGUAAAUGUGGAAGUACUGGUAGAUUUUCAUUAUGAUAUUUUCAAUUUCAAUAUCAAGUGUGUCUGCGCCAUGAUGGACACAAUUGUUCAUUAUGUGUGCUGGGCAACCCACACCCAUCAGCGUCUUGUUCUGGAGCAACUUCUUCAAAUUUGCAUACACAUUCUUCCCCCCUUCAUCACAUCUGAUUCCUCCGAAGAUUGUGUUGCAGUUGUCACCAGUAAAUGCAGUACAUUUUUCUGACAAAUUAUUUUUUCUCAGUGUUUCAAUCAAGUAGUUUGCAAUGGUGUCAGCUGUCUCAUUAGGUGUGUCUUUGACCUCAAGCAUUGUUGAUUGUACACCACCUUUCUUCCAGUCAAAAUACUGGAUUAUGAUUGGGAAUAUUUUCACUGCACCAUGGUUACUUCCAUUUGUAGCAUGCCACAAUACUUUAUCAAUCAAUCAAUUAAUGUUUAUUUAUAUAGCCCCAAAUCACAAAUGUCUCAAAGGACUGCACAAAUCAUUACGACUACAACAUCCUCGGAAGAACCCAGAAAAGGGCAAGGAAAACUCACACCCAGUGGGCAGGGAGAAUUCACAUCCAGUGGGACGCCAGUGACAAUGCUGACUAUGAGAAACCUUGGAGAGGACCUCAGAUGUGGGCAACCCCCCCCCUCUAGGGGACCGAAAGCAAUGGAUGUCGAGCGGGUCUAACAUGAUACUGUGAAAGUUCAAUCCAUAGUGGCUCCAACACAGCCGCGAGAGUUCAGUUCAAGCGGAUCCAAGACAGCAGCGAGAGUCCCGUCCACAGGAGACCAUCUCAAGCGGAGGCGGAUCAGCAGCGUAGAGAUGUCCCCAACCGAUACAGGCGAGCGGUCCAUCCUGGGUCCCGACGAGCGGUCCAUCCUGGGUCUCGACUCUGGACAGCCAGUACUUCAUCCAUGGUCAUCGGACCGGACCCCCUCCACAAGGGAGGGGGGGACAUAGGAGAAAGAAAAGAAGCGGCAGAUCAACUGGUCUAAAAAGGAGGUCUAUUUAAAGGCUAGAGUAUACAGAUGAGUUUUAAGGUGAGACUUAAAUGCUUCUACUUUAUUUAUUUGAGCGCCUCUAGUGCAAUUUCAAUGCUGUGGGGCGAUAUAACACUGUUGACAAUCGCCUCUGUUUUGGUGCGUGCGUUUGAAAACGUUUUUGCUGUGUCUGAGUCUGGAAUGCUUUUUUAAGCAAAGCACUGCUGCAAUCCUUCGACCUGUAACUGUUAUGGUGUUUGAUUUUGUGGAAUGCUAAAACACCCUCUGCUGCUUUUUACAAUGUCUUCUCCGCUUCCAGGUCGCUCAAAAGUACUCUAUCAAUUUAGCAGACGAGCUCUCGCCCUGCAGAGCUGUUUUGUGCUUUGUAGUGUCGAUAUGGGCUUGUAGAUCGAUGGCCCCUUUAUUUGCCACAGAUACAUAUGUUCCUGCUUUGCACACUGUGCAUUCUGUUUCCCAUGUGUCGCGGCCAGGACAAAAACACAGAUACUUUUUCUGCAAAUCAUCUGUAAAGUUGCAUUUACGUUUCGGCAUGUCCCUCUUGUCUUGUCUGUUUCUCGACUCCCUCCUCUCAAGCUCUCUGUCUCUGCCUCUCCCUCACGAAUGCUGCUGCUUGUGCAGCCUCCACUAUUUGUUUUGUUUUUAACCCCUUCUCAACCCUAAACGUACAUUGAAAAUACACGCAACCCUAACUCAAAAUGCCGAACAUUUGAGGCAUUUAAGAAACCCCGACCAGACAGCCCCGCAAAAGAGGACAAACGGUCAGUCUGUUAUAGUUAGCUCGUCUCCUUGCUAACUAGCUAACAAGUGUGAGACAAGUUGUGUGAAAACAGAUUUACUUACAUUUUUGCCUAGUGUUUGCUAGCUAAACUUUGUCUAAAUCAAUUGAAGUAUGUGGAGAGACGGAGCCGGCAGUCCGACAACGAGGCAGGGCACACCGUAGCCCGGCCCAAGAUGGCGGCGAGGAGGCGUGGCCGGCAGUCCGACAGCAAGGCAGGGCACGCCGGAGCCUGGCCCAAGAUGGCAGCAAGGAGGCGUGGACGGGGAGCGAGUGACGAGGUGGGGCGCGGCGGGAGCGACGCCACAAUUGUUAUCAGGUGCGCGGGUCGUCCAGCUGGGCACAAUUAAAUAAUUACCUCGCACUGUAUAAAAAGGGCGACAGCCGUGAACGUGGGGAGGAGAGACGGGAAGAGAGACGGAGAGAAGAGACUGAGCAAGAGAGAAGCGGAUGCCGAACGAGAGAGAUGGAGAGCCCAAGAAAGGAGACGACGCAAGAAGCUGAAAAGUUGGAGCGGAAGAGCGAGCAGCGGACGGCAAGGCUGAAAAGCAACCCGGCAAGAGACAUUUAUUCUUUGAAAUACAGAAGUCUAACCCUGCUCGCCAUAAUGUCAUUCCUUAGUGGUCCUUGGAACCCGCACGACGGCUUGAGUCUGUCACAAAGUACUUUUUGUAUUUGUACUUCAGGUGUGAAGCAGCGUCGGCACAACAAAUGUCAAUUACUCAAAUACGCGCAAUUAUUAGGCACUACGACACUGAUACCACAAAAAUAUAUAUAUAUAUAAUAUACAAAAAUGUUCAGAAUUGAUUGAGUCUAUUGGGCAUCUAAAAAGGCCAGGAGUUAAUCAAUAAUCAAUAGUG